rnacentral:lncRNA from 10 species
AGGAAGGUGGCGGCCAGGGAUGAGGAGGCCCCUAAGCAAGUGCGGAAUGGAGCCGGGGGGCGGAGAUGCCAGCCUCACUUUGCAUGGUCUCCAGAACCGCUCCCACGGCAAGAUAAAGCUGCGAAAGAGAAAGUCUACCUUGUACUUCAACACCCAGGAGAAGAGCGCCAGGCGCCGCGGGGGCUGUCCAUUUGUGGUCAAGAGCAGGACUUUGGAGACAUCACACAGACCCGGGUUUGAAUCCUGAUAAGUAAUUUACAACUUUAUUUGGACAAGGCAGUUUAAUUUCUGGGCCUCAAUUUGCUCGUCUGUAAAAUGGGGCUAAUAAUACCUAUCCCAUAAUAUUGUUUGGAGGAUUAAGUGAGAUGCAUGUGAAGAAAUUAACACAGUGCCUGGCAUAUAUAAUAGUAAUCAUCAAUAUAUAUGUACAGAGGACCAUUUUAUAUUGCACAUAUACAAAGGGCUGCUUCCCAAAUUAGUAAUUUGUUAGCUGGUUUCUUUCAUUAGAUACACACAUAGUAUGACCUAAUUAAUUAGCCUAAGGCCUUAGUUAACCCACUCUUUUUUUUUUGUAUUUAU